UACCAAUAAUCAAGAAAAUCAUUUGCAUAACCAUAUUCUCAAUAUAUAUAUAAAUAUAUCAUAAAAUAAUAUUUUACUAUAAUGUCUUUAUUACGAAUUAUUCGAUAUAACAAAUUAUUCGUUAUUUUUCCAUUAACUGCAAGAGAAUUCCUUUUGAAUAAUUCGUCCAAAGGAAGGAGCAAUGUCGUCAUUCAAUUCAAGAGAGACUUCAACGCCACAGUUAGUUCAUCUAUUAAACAAGAGUACAAGAAACAAAAAAUUCUAUCAAACAUUUAUAAAGUUGGUUGAAGAAUAUUAGUAACAGGUGCAAUUAAACAUUCAAAAUAAGUGUGAAACAAAUGUCAUGCGAAGCAAAUAAACAAAAUAAUGUUUUAAUAAGAGAUAUUGACCAGUAAUAUUUUUCAUAGAAAGACAUUUUGGAAUAUCUAUAUUCACAUAUUUAAUAUGUAUUGAUUUUUUUGUCACCAAUAAUGGUCGGAGGAAAGACAAGAAAGAACUGUCGGGGAAUAUAGAAUUUGAAAAUUUGAAAUUUAACUACCCAAGUUGAUCGAAUCACGUUAUUUUGAAGAAUUUUAAUUUAGAUAUUCUUUCUAUACGAUGUCAACGAGUAUAGCAUAUCUAUUGAUAAAUGGGACAUUAGGUUUCUCCAUUCUAGCUAUAUUAGAGGUAUUGUAUUAGCGCAUAUAAAUUAAAAACCUGUACUUUUUGCGACUAGUACAAUGGGGCAUAUUUGUCAUGGAAAACAAGAUGCGACGGACGAGAAG